CCUCCGUAGCAGAUGCAUCCCAACUCCCGAUUCUCUUCUCUCCAAAAAAAACUACCGAUUCCCCAUCUAGAAAAAACCUCCCGUUCCCCGUUCUUAGCCAAAUUGACCUUAACCCUAGCAGCAGCACACAGCACGACGGACGCGCCGCCACAAAUUAAGUCAUCUACCGAGAUCCAACGAGAGCCAUCCGCUCUCCCUUCCCUCGCCAUGGCGUCCUGAGAUUUCUGCCGGGCGCUGGUUGGCGAGGCUGCAAGCUCUCUUCCGAUCGAGACAUCCUGAGGUACGCCCUCCUCGUAGCCCACCGACCUCUUGGCCUCACUAGAGGAACCCUGCACCGGAUGCAGCCCCCUCUCUUUUCUUCCUGCAGAUCACCCCGGGACAGUAGAAACCUCCCUUCCUCUCCGGUUCCCCUUGCUCUGGCCCUCUUGAUGGCAUGUCGCUGCUAGGCACUGAACGAUGCGCCUGGCGAAGGCAGAGAGGUGGAAGACAGGGGCACAGCGGACCGAUGGCCAUCCAGGUACGUCUUCUCUUUUCUGCUUUCCAGAUGCCUCUCUCCUUUAUAUUUAAUUCGUUCAUAUUUUUCCACAAGUUUUGGACAUCCUUGCUGAAUUCCCUACUGUUGACCACAUACCGCUGAUCAACUACAGUUAAUGCUUUCCUGCUUCCUUGCCUAGAUGUCAAUCACUAUUUGCUUACUUGUAUGUGUAGAACUCGAUAUUCCUACCACACAUCAGACCACCAAUAAUAUAAGAACUUUUUUUUUCUUCAGAGAGAAAAGGCGAUGACUACUCUCUCCAGCUCUGAAUAAAUAUAAGAAUUCUUUAUAGUUGGAAUAUGCAAGGUUUUAUCAAGUAUUUGUCAAAUGUCUGCUAAGCUUUAGAAUAUUAUUCUUGAACCAAUCCGUAUUUUCUGCUCAUCUCAAUAUUCAAGGUUGAAGUUAAUUCACUAGAGAGAGUGUAUGUGUUAUGCGAGGUAGUAGUGUGCUAAUCUGUUACUUGCCAGUUUUCAGAAAUUGUUUAUUUAGUAUUUGUAAACUUGGUGGUAAAGCAUCUGGUAAACCACUAACCAUUUUUCUAACAUGUCUUGCGAUGGUAUAGAGUGCCCAACCAGACUUCACGUGUAAAUCUUUUGGCAGAUAUUGACUAAUUCAUAGCAGACUAGCAGGUGUUUUUCUUACUAUAUUUUGCAAUACUUGAGGCGUGGUCUGUUAUAAAUACAUACAUGUAUUUCAAGCUGGUUUCUCAUCUUAUUUGGCAGAAGCAAACAGUGCUGGUACUGGAAGUCCAUGGAGAAUGCUCUAUGCAGGCCCAAAGAUCAGCAUGAACUGCUACAUUCGGGUAUCGGAUUUACAUUAGAAGGCAGAAAACUGGAAGGAAUGUAGUGUAUAUAGUGUAUGUAGGACUAGUUAGAAUGUUACACUUUGAAGUAUGGUUGUAACCUCUUUAUUCAAAAAUUGUUUUCAUGUAUGUGAUGGGGAUUUCAAUAAUAAAUAUUGAAUUAUUUCUUCAUGCAA